GUGUUUUUAUAUAUGUUGAGUGUGCCAAGGAUGGAUUCCCAUGUAUUGGGGAAUUGCGUGAGGAUAUGACUGGUUUUGACUGGACUUUUGGAAUAGGGAAAUGGUUAAAAGAUAUAGGACGCAAGGUCCUGGCCGUGCAAUAAUAUAGUUGCUAUAAGCCCAAGUUCCAUUCUGUCUUAAACAUCCAUUUUCUAUAUAUCUGUCUGCAAAAGUAUUAAGUGUUUUUUGUUUUGUUUUUUUUCUGCUGAGUUUCUGUUUCUUGUAGACCACAUGAUUGCUUGGGAAUGCCAUAACGUGGAAAUUUCUCUGUCUUGGGAGAAUGUUAACCGAUGAUAUGAGCAAUAUAUAUUGCUCAAAGAGGGGUAACAAUUGUGAUUAUUGGGGCUCAGUUGGAUGGAACACCGGGACAGAUUGGGG